CCAAUUUGUAAACAUCUUACUUGUUUAAUUUAAUUUUUUAAUCUUUAGGAGCAAUACAUGUAAAAUUCGGCCCAAAACAGCCCAUAUAAGUGCAUGGCCGAAUUUACCUUGUUAUUUUAUUAAUUAGGUUUAAUUUUUUAUUAGUUACUUGUGAGAUUAGGAUUUGUUGGAGGCCUAUAUAAGCAUUGGCCAGCCACCCUUUGUAAAAAUAUCUUAUUAUUAUUUUUUCUAUCAAAUUUCAGAUUUGUUGAGUGCAGAAUUUUCUUUGGGGUUUUCUCCAAGAAUUCUCUCUUGAGUUUUCUUUAGAAGUUGUUUUAACAAUCUUUUGAUUGUGGGAGCCAUCUUCAACCUUCUUCUUGCCAUCGAUAUUCUUUGGAGGGGAGAUUAGAGCCGUUUGAAGAGAUUUGUGAAAUCUUUCGGGAUUUCAAGGAUCUUUAGGAC
rnacentral:lncRNA from 1 species